rnacentral:rRNA from 1 species
CAGACGAUGCGUCAUGCAUAUCAAUAAGCGGAGGAAAAGAAACUAACAAGGAUUCCCUUAGUAACGGCGAGUGAAGCGGGAAGAGCUCAAAUUUGAAAUCUUCAAGGUUUUACCUUGACGAAUUGUAGUUUAAAGAAGUGUUUUCUGUUGAAGUUUUGGUAAAAGUUCUUUGGAAUAGGACAUCAUAGAGGGUGAGAAUCCCGUAUUUGACCAUUAUUUUCAGCUGUGUGAUACACUUUCAAAGAGUCGGAUUGUUUGGGAAUGCAGUCCAAAAUGGGUGGUAAAUUUCAUCUAAAGCUAAAUAUUGGCGAGAGACCGAUAGCGAACAAGUACCGUGAGGGAAAGAUGAAAAGAACUUUGAAAAGAGAGUUAAACAGUACGUGAAAUUGUCAAAAGGGAAGCGUUUGACACCAGUGUUGUUUUCUCGAAAAUCAAUUAAAAAGAGUUGGAUUUUGUGUUGUAUUGACCUUAACAGCUUGCUUCACUCUUUUCCUGCUUUUUUAAUGCACUUUUCGUUUAACAAGUCAACAUCAGUUUCUUUUGUUGUAAAAGGGUCAUUGGAAGGUGGCUUUCUCUUCGGAGAAAGUGUUUAUAGCCUUUGAUCUCUGCAAUCGGAGAGACUGAGGUCUGCAGCGUAGAUCCUUCGGGGUUAGAUACAUUUGUGCUAAGCUACAGCUUUUCAUAGACAACUUGUUGACUAUGUUUAGUCUUGUAACUUACCCGCUUAUGCUAUUUUACCUACGCUUAGGAUGUUGAUAUGCAUGACUGAUAU